AGGUCAUCCCGACCCUGCUCCCAGACCGAUAGCGAACAAGUAGAGUGAUCGAAAGAUGAAAAGCACUUUGAAAAGAGAGUUAAAAAGUACGUGAAAUUGUUGAAAGGGAAGCGUUUAUGACCAGACUUGGGCUUGGUUAAUCAUCUGGGGUUCUCCCCAGUGCACUUUUCCAGUCCAGGCCAGCAUCAGUUUUCCCCGGGGGAUAAAGACUUCGGGAAUGUGGCUCUCUUCGGGGAGUGUUAUAGCCCGUUGUGUAAUACCCUUGGGG
rnacentral:rRNA from 1 species